AUGGGCCCAGAUUCCGCAAAAUGGCUAGAGGCCAUGAAAUCUGAGAUGGGAUCCAUGUAUGAGAACAAAGUAUGGACUUUGGUUGACUUGCCCGAUGAUCGACAAGCCAUUGAGAAUAAAUGGAUCUUUAAGAAGAAGACUGACGCUGAUGGUAAUGUAACUGUCUAUAAAGCUCGACUUGUUGCGAAAGGUUUUCGACAAGUUCAAGGGGUUGACUAUGAUGAGACUUUCUCACCUGUAGCGAUGCUUAAGUCUGUCCGAAUCAUGUUAGCUAUUGCUGCAUUUUAUGAUUAUGAAAUUUGGCAAAUGGAUGUCAAAACUGCAUUCUUGAAUGGAUUUCUGGAAGAAGAGUUGUAUAUGAUGCAGCCAGAAGGUUUUGUUGAUCCAAAAGGUGCUAACAAAGUGUGCAAGCUCCAGCGAUCCAUUUAUGGACUGGUGCAAGCAUCUCGGAGUUGGAAUAAACGCUUUGAUAGUGUGAUCAAAGCAUAUGGUUUUAUACAGACUUUUGGAGAAGCCUGUAUUUACAAUAAAGUGAGUGUGAGCUCUGUAGCAUUUUUGAUAUUAUAUGUAGAUGACAUAUUAUUAAUUGGAAAUGAUAUAGAAUUACUGGAUAGCAUAAAGGGAUACUUGAAUAAAAGUUUUUCAAUGAAAGACCUCGGUGAAGCAGCUUACAUAUUAGGCAUCAAGAUUUAUAGAGAUAGAUCAAGACGCUUAAUAGGACUUUCACAAAGCACAUACCUUGAUAAAAUUUUGAAAAAGUUCAAAAUGGAUCAGGCAAAGAAAGGGUUCUUGCCCGUGCUACAAGGUGUGAAGUUGAGUCAGACUCAAUGCCCGACCACAACAGAAGAUAGAGAGAAAAUGAAAGAUGUUCCCUAUGCUUCAGCCAUAGGCUCUAUCAUGUAUGCAAUGCUAUGUACCAGACCUGACGUAUGCUUAGCAAUAAGCUUGGCAGGAAGGUACCAAAGUAAUCCAGGAGAGGAUCACUGGACAGCGGUCAAGAACAUCCUGAAAUACCUGAAAAGGACUAAGGAUAUGUUUCUCGUAUAUGGAGGUGACAAAGAGCUAGUCGUGAAUGGUUACGUCGAUGCAAGCUUUGACACUGAUCUGAACGAUUCUAAAUCGCAAACCGGAUACGUAUUUUUAUUAAACGGUGGAGCUGUAAGUUGGUGCAGUUCUAAACAAAGCGUCGUGGCGGGAUCUACAUGUGAAGCGGAGUACAUAGCCGCUUCAGAAGCAGCAAAUAAAGGAGUCUAG
rnacentral:rRNA from 1 species